CUUGAACGCUGGCGGCAGGCUUAACACAUGCAAGUCGAACGAGUGGCGGACGGGUGAGUAGUGCUUGGGACUCUCGCUUAUGGAGGGGGAUAACUACGGGAAACUGUCGCUAAUACCGCGUACCAUAGGUUGAGCCCAAGUGGGAUUAGGUAGUUGGUGAGGUAAAGGCUCACCAAGCCGACGAUCUCUAGCUGGUAUGAGAGGAUGACCAGCCACACUGGGACUGAGACACGGCCCAGACUCCGACGGGAGGCAGCAGUGGGGAAUAUUGCGCAAUGGGGGCAAACUGACACAACCAUGCCGCGUGAAUGAAGAAGGCCUUCGGGGUGUAAAGUGCUUGCGGUAGCGAAGCGUUAACUACAGAAGAAGCACCGGCUAACUCCGUGCUAGCAGCCGCGGUAAUAC
rnacentral:rRNA from 1 species